rnacentral:rRNA from 1 species
AAGUCGUUCUCAGUCCGGAUCGAAGUCUGCAACUCGACUUCGUGAAGUCGGAAUCGCUAGUAAUCGCGAAUCAGCAAUGUCGCGGUGAAUACGUUCCCGGGCCUUGUACACACCGCCCGUCACACCAUGGGAGUUGGUUGCACCAGAAGUGGGUAGUUUAACCUUCGGGAGAACGCUUACAACGGUGUGGUCAAUGACUGGGGUGAAGUCGUAACAAGGUAACCGUA